CAUGUUGAACACCAGUUCUCAUAUGACCACAAAAGUUAAGCUAUGUUGAGCCUGGUCAGUGCCUAGAUGGGUAAAUACUUGGGAACAGCAGAUGCUGUAAG